GAUGAACGCUGGCGGCGUGCUUAACACAUGCAAGUCGAACGGACUUACAUUGAAACCUAGUGAUAUGUAAGUUAGUGGCGGACGGGUGAGUAACGCGUGGGUAACCUGCCGUAUACAGGGGGAUAACACAUAGAAAUAGGUGCUAAAACCGCAUAAGCGCACGAAGUCGCAUGACUACGUGUGAAAAACUCCGGUGGUAUACGAUGGACCCGCGUCUGAUUAGCUAGUUGGUGAGGUAACGGCCCACCAAGGCGACGAUCAGUAGCCGGCCUGAGAGGGUGAACGGCCACAUUGGGACUGAGACACGGCCCAAACUCCUACGGGAGGCAGCAGUGGGGGAAUAUUGGACAAUGGGGGGAAACCCUGAUCCAGCGACGCCGCGUGAGUGAAGAAGUAUUUCGGUAUGUAAAGCUCUAUCAGCAGGGAAGAAAAUGACGGUACCUGACUAAGAAGCCCCGGCUAACUACGUG
rnacentral:rRNA from 1 species